CACAACUUUUAACAGCAAAGGGGAAACAUUCUCCAAGUUUCUUUUUCCAUGGCCUAUCAUGGAAAUACCAAGAUACGGAAGACAAAAUUUAACCAGAACUGGGAAAGCAAGAUAGCUCCACAGCUGAAAGAUUAGACAUCUCUCUGGGGGACCAGCUCUGUUCCACAGCCUGCUGGAAGGAGGAGAGGUCUCCAGGGGACAAGGGACAGGACUUCAGCCCCACAGGAGCGCUCCACUCCGAGGAUGCACUCUCUAGGCAGGAAGAAGACGGGGUGACUCCUCAUUGCCACCGAAGGCAAACAAAAAAUAGCUUC
rnacentral:lncRNA from 1 species